UAAUACGGGGGGAGCAAGCGUUGUUCGGAUUUACUGGGCGUAAAGGGCGCGUAGGCGGCGCAACAAGUCACUUGUGAAAUCUCCGGGCUUAACUCGGAGCGGCCAAGUGAUACUGUCGUGCUAGAGUGCGGAAGGGGCAACUGGAAUUCUCGGUGUAGCGGUGAAAUGCGUAGAUAUCGAGAGGAACACCUGCGGCGAAGGCGGGUUGCUGGGCCGACACUGACGCUGAGGCGCGAAAGCCAGGGGAGCGAACGGGAUUAGAUACCCCGGUAGUCCUGGCCUUAAACGAUGGAUGCUUGGUGUCCGGGGUUACAUAGUCCCCGGGUGCCGUCGCUAACGCCUUAAGCAUCCCGCCUGGGGAGUACGCACGCAAGUGUG
rnacentral:rRNA from 1 species